rnacentral:misc_RNA from 1 species
GAUGAAGAACGCAGCGAAAUGCGAUAAGUAAUGUGAAUUGCAGAAUUCAGUGAAUCAUCGAAUCUUUGAACGCGCAUUGCGCCCGCCAGUAUUCUGGCGGGCAUGCCUGUUCGAGCGUCAUUACAACCCUCAGGCCCCCGGGCCUGGCGUUGGGGAUCGGCGGAGCCCCCCGUGGGCACACGCCGUCCCCCAAAUACAGUGGCGGUCCCGCCGCAGCUUCCAUCGCGUAGUAGCUAACACCUCGCGACUGGAGAGCGGCGCGGCCACGCCGUAAAACACCCAACUCUUCUGAAGUUGACCUCGAAUCAGGUAGGAAUACCCGCUGAACUUAAGCAUAUCAAUAAGCGGAGGA